GAUGAACGCCUAGCUACCGUGCUUAACACAUUGCAAGUCGAGGGGCACCAUGAACUUAACUUGCUAAAUUUGAUGGCGACCGGCGCACGGGUGAGUAACACGUAUCCCACCUGCCAAUGACUCCGGGAUAGCCUUUCAAAACAAAGAUUAAUACCCGAUGGCAUAGUUCUUCCGCAUGGUACAACUAUUAAAUGAAUUUCGGUCAUCGUAUGGGGAUGCGUUCCAUUAUGUUGUUGGCGGGGUAACGGCCCACCGACCCUUCAAUGGAUAGGGGUUCUGACAGGAAGGUCCCCCACCUUGGAACUGAGACACGGUCCAAACUCCUACGGGAGGCAGCAAUGAGGAAUAUUGGUCAAUGGACGAGAGUCUGAACCACCCAAGUAGCGUGAACGAUGACUGCCCUAUGGGUUGUAAACUUCUUUUAUACGGGAAUAAAGUGAAGCACGUGUGCCUUUUUGUAUGUACCGUAUGAAUAAUAGAUCGGCUAACUCCGUGCCAGCAGCCGCGGUAAUACGCAGGAUCCGAGCGUUAUCCGGAUUUAUUGGGUUUAAAGGGAGCGUAGGCGGACGCUUAAGUCAGUUGUGAAAGUUUGCGGCUCAACCGUAAAAUUGCAGUUGAUACUGGGUGUCUUGAGUACAGUAGAGGCAGGUGGAAUUCGUGGUGUAGCGGUGAAAUGCUUAGAUAUCACGAAGAACUCCGAUUGCGAAGGCAGCCUGCUGGACUGUAACUGACGCUGAUGCUCGAAAGUGUGGGUAUCAAACAGGAUUAGAUACCCUGGUAGUCCACACAGUAAACGAUGAAUACUCGCUGUUUGCGAUAUACAGUAAGCGGCCAAGCGAAAGCGUUAAGUAUUCCACGUGGGGAGUACGCCGGCAACGGUGAAACUCAAAGGAAUUGACGGGGGCCCGCACAAGCGGAGGAACAUGUGGUUUAAUUGGAUGAUACGCGAGGAACCUUACCCGGGCUUGAAUUGCAACUGAAUGAUGUGGAGACAUGUCUGCCGCAAGGCAGUUGUGAAGGUGCUGCAUGGUUGUCGUCAGCUCGUGCCGUGAGGUGUCGGCUUAAGUGCCAUAACGAGCGCAACCCUUAUCGAUAGUUACCAUCAGGUUAUGCUGGGGACUCUGUCGAGACUGCCGUGGUAAGAUGUGAGGAAGGUGGGGAUGACGUCAAAUCAGCACGGCCCUUACGUCCGGGGCUACACACGUGUUACAAUGGGGGGUACAGAAGGCAGCUACACGGCGAGGUGAUGCUAAUCCCGAAAGCCUCUUUCAGUUUGGAUUGGAGUUUGCAACCUGACUCCAUGAAGGUGGAUUUGGUAGUAAUUGCGCAUCAGCCACGGCGCGGUGAAUACGUUCCCGGGCCU
rnacentral:rRNA from 1 species